UACCAGCACCCCGAGUGGUCGGGACGUUUUAUUGGGCCUAAAGCAUCCGUAGCCGGUUCUACAAGUCUUCCGUUAAAUCCAACUGCUUAACAGGUGGGCUGCGGAAGAUACUAUAGAGCUAGGAGGCGGGAGAGGCAAGCGGUACUCGAUGGGUAGGGGUAAAAUCCGUUGAUCCAUUGAAGACCACCAGUGGCGAAGGCGGCUUGCCAGAACGCACUCGACGGUGAGGGAUGAAAGCUGGGGGAGCAAACCGG
rnacentral:rRNA from 1 species